rnacentral:rRNA from 1 species
GACGAACGCUGGCGGCGUGCCUAAUACAUGCAAGUAGAACGCUGAAGGAGGAGCUUGCUCUUCUGGAUGAGUUGCGAACGGGUGAGUAACGCGUAGGUAACCUGCCUGGUAGCGGGGGAUAACUAUUGGAAACGAUAGCUAAUACCGCAUAACAGUAGAUGUUGCAUGACAUUUACUUAAAAGGUGCAAUUGCAUCACUACCAGAUGGACCUGCGUUGUAUUAGCUAGUUGGUGGGGUAACGGCUCACCAAGGCGACGAUACAUAGCCGGCCUGAGAGGGUGAUCGGCCACACUGGGACUGAGACACGGCCCAGACUCCUACGGGAGGCAGCAGUAGGGAAUCUUCGGCAAUGGACGGAAGUCUGACCGAGCAACGCCGCGUGAGUGAAGAAGGUUUUCGGAUCGUAAAGCUCUGUUGUAAGAGAAGAACGAGUGUGAGAGUGGAAAGUUCACACUGUGACGGUAUCUUACCAGAAAGGGACGGCUAACUACGUG